CAAAUAGCCAAAAAUAAUGAAAUCGAACUAUCGUGCUGCUUGAGGGCUGCUUAAGGAAAAAAAGUACCAGCGCCGAACUUUGAAGCUAGUUAAAAAGAGCGUGGAACUUGAUGGAACUAUGAAGCUUUUCUACCUUCACUUGGAACUCGAUGGAACUAUGAGGCUUAUUAACAAACAACGAAUAGUCUUCACCCGAACUAUGCGGCUUUUUAAGAAGCAUACGGAUUAUGUCAAUAGAACAUUGCUAUCUGCCAUUAAGCGUCAUUAGAAGAAAAAAUCAUUGUGUGGAAAGAUGUAUUCCAAGCGUGUGAAAAAAUCGGGAAACUUGUAGAGAAGGCGUGCUAAAAUUAUGCGUGAGUUGUUUGAGAACGGAGACGA